rnacentral:rRNA from 1 species
UACGUAGGGUCCGAGCGUUGUCCGGAAUUAUUGGGCGUAAAGGCUCGUAGGCGGCCAACUAAGUCAUACGUGAAAUCCCUCAGCUUAACUGGGGAACUGCGUGUGAUACUGGAUGGCUUGGAUUUGGGAGAGGGAUGCGGAAUUCCAGGUGUAGCGGUGAAAUGCGUAGAUAUCUGGAGGAACACCGGUGGCGAAGGCGGCAUCCUGGACCAAUAUUGACGCUGAGGAGCGAAAGCUAGGGGAGCAAAC